CUACUUCAUUUACAAAUAAUAAAAUAAAACAUUUUUUAUAAAAUAGUUUAUAUUCUCUGGAUUAAUUACAGUACUUUUAUCUUACACUGCAAAAAAUCGGGGGAAAUAAAACCAGGAAAAUGUCGAAAAUAAUUUUAUUAUUAUCAAUUUUCGUAUUGGUUGUUAUCUAUCCUGGUGUAUAUGCAUCAUGUCCUGGCGGUUGGUGCCAUCCAUCACAAGGUUAUGGCUGUUGUGAAGGAAAUGUUUGCUCUGAUUAUUUGUUUCAAGGUACAUGCGUGAAUGAGUUCGAAUGGGCUCAGAUGCACCCUCCUGUAGGAAAAUGAUUAUAACAAUCCAGUGAAGAUUUAUGAAUGUACACGGAAAAAAAAAUCUGAGCCUCGAUUGGCCUUGGUCAGGAAUCAAAAUCAAGAUUUAAAUAAGUUUUGACUCAUGUAAUAAACAAUAAACUAAGAAAUAUCCCGCAAAAAUAUUAAAAACUACGUUUCUUCGAUUGUUUUGUUGAUAAUAUGAUUUAAACUAUAAAACAAGUUUGACGACAUUAUAUGAUUCCGAGAAACCAUAAAAAAGAUGAGUUGGUAUGAUUUCAAACACAUUUUAGUACGUUAUAUUAUGAUUUAUCCGGAAAAAAUACCAUAAAAUGUUGUUGUGUAACUUUUCAACCCUGAUAUCGUUUGUUUUUUACCAUUUCUUUCUCUAACAAUAUGUUUUUCUCUGUGUAUUGUAUCAUUCAAUAAAAAUCUAUCACUUACA